rnacentral:rRNA from 1 species
UACGAAGGGGGCUAGCGUUGCUCGGAAUCACUGGGCGUAAAGCGCACGUAGGCGGCUUUCUAAGUCAGGGGUGAAAUCCUGGAGCUCAACUCCAGAACUGCCUUUGAUACUGGAGAGCUCGAGUCCGGAAGAGGUGAGUGGAACUCCGAGUGUAGAGGUGAAAUUCGUAGAUAUUCGGAAGAACACCAGUGGCGAAGGCGGCGAUCUGGGAAGAUACUGACGCUGAGGUGCGAAAGCGUGGGGAGCAAACAGG